rnacentral:rRNA from 1 species
GUGCCAGCCGCCGCGGUAAUACGAAGGGGGCUAGCGUUAUCCGGAUUUAUUGGGCGUAAAGCGUGCGUAGACGGUUUUGCAAGUCUGAGGUUAAAUUUAGGGGCUCAACCCCUAACCGCCUUGGAAACUACAUUACUAGAGUAUAGGAGAGGUUAGUGGAAUUUCAUGUGUAGCGGUGGAAUGCGUAGAUAUAUGAAGGAACACCAGUGGCGAAGGCGGCUAACUGGCCUAUUACUGACGUUGUGGCACGAAAGCGUGGGGAGCAAAUAGGAUUAGAAACCCGAGUAGUCC